rnacentral:rRNA from 1 species
CCCUUAGAUGUCCUGGGCCGCACGCGCGCUACACUGAUGCAUGCAACGAGUUUAUAACCUUGGCCUGAAAGGUCUGGGUAAUCUUUUGAACGUGCAUCGUGAUAGGGAUAGAUUAUUGCAAUUGUUAAUCUUGAACGAGGAAUUCCUAGUAAACGCGAGUCAUCAGCUCGCAUUGAUUACGUCCCUGCCCUUUGUACACACCGCCCGUCGCACCUACCGAUUGAAUGGUUCGGUGAAGAUCUCGGACUUCGAUAUUUAUUCUUUAUUGAGUUUAUAUUGUGGGAAGUUAUCUAAACCUCACGAUUUAGAGGAAGGAGAAGUCGUAACA